rnacentral:rRNA from 1 species
UGCCAGCAGCCGCGGUAACACGGGGGGCGCAAGCGUUAUUCGGAAUUAUUGGGCGUAAAGCGCGUGUAGGCGGUUCGUUAAGUCUGAUGUGAAAGCCCGGGGCUCAACCCCGGAUGGUCACUUGAAACAGCAAGACUUGAGUACGGGAGAGGAAAGUGGAAUUCCGAGUGUAGGGGUGAAAUCCGUAGAUAUUCGGAGGAACACCAGUGGCGAAGGCGGCUUUCUGGACCGAUACUAACGCUGAGACCCAAAAGCGUGGACAGCAAACAGGAGUAGAUA